rnacentral:rRNA from 1 species
AUCUCCUUAAACCCUUAACCACUAUUGGAUGACUCCACAACCUAUGGAAGACAUUAUGCUUGAACUAGUAACAAGAAUAUGAAAUUCUCCUAAAUGUAAGUAUAAGCCACAUUAGACAAACUAAUGGCAAUUAACGUUAAUGAAUAUAGUACAACAACUUUCUAGAAAAGCUUGUAUGAUUCAACGUCAACCUUACACAAGAACAUUCCAGGAAAGAUUAAAAGGAAGAGAAGGAACUCGGCAAACAACAACCCCGCCUGUUUACCAAAAACAUCGCCUCUUGCUCAAAUAUAAGAGGUCCAGCCUGCCCAGUGAUUAUUAAACGGCCGCGGUAUCCUAACCGCGCUAAGGUAGCACAAUUACUUGUCCUUUAAAUGGGGACCGGAAUGAAUGACAUCACGAGGGUUAUACUGUCUCCCCUUCCAAAUCAGUGAAAUUGACCUCCCUGUGAAAAGGCAGGACUAAAAAUAUUAGACGAGAAGACCCCAUGGAGCUUUAGACACUAAGCAAAUCUAAGCCACUAUUCCUAUUAGCCUACGAUUUAUGUCUUUAAGUCUUUGGCUGGGGCCGCCAUGGAGUAAAAAUUAACCUCCUCGCCGAAUGGAUAUUUCCUCAUCUAAGAAUGACAUUUCUAAGAAACAGCAAACUGACGCCCAUUGAUCCGGAACCCGAUCAACGAACCAAGUUACCCUGGGGAUAACAGCGCUAUCUACCUUAAGAGUUCCUAUCGACAGGUGGGUUUACGACCUCGAUGUUGGAUCAGGGUAUCCCAGUGGUGCAGCCGCUACAU